rnacentral:rRNA from 1 species
CUUGCUCUCUGAUGGCGAGUGGCGAACGGGUGAGUAAUAUAUCGGAACGUGCCCAGUAAUGGGGAAUAACUAAUUGAAAGAUUAGCUAAUACCGCAUACGACCUACGGGUGAAAGCAGGGGAUCUUCGGACCUUGCGUUAUUGGAGCGGCCGAUAUCUGAUUAGCUAGUUGGUAGGGUAAAAGCCUACCAAGGCGACGAUCAGUAGCUGGUCUGAGAGGACGAUCAGCCACACUGGAACUGAGACACGGUCCAGACUCCUACGGGAGGCAGCAGUGGGGAAUUUUGGACAAUGGGGGAAACCCUGAUCCAGCCAUCCCGCGUGAGUGAGGAAGGCCUUCGGGUUGUAAAGCUCUUUCGGAAGUGAAGAAAACUUAUUUCGUAAUAUGUUAUAAGAAUGACGGUAACUUUAGAAGAAGCACCGGCUAACUACGUGCCAGCAGCCGCGGUAAUACGUAGGGUGCGAGCGUUAAUCGGAAUUACUGGGCGUAAAGCGUGCGCAGGCGGUUUUGUAAGUCAGAUGUGAAAUCCCCGAGCUUAACUUGGGAACUGCGUUUGAAACUACAAGACUAGAGUGUGUCAGAGGGGGGUAGAAUUCCACGUGUAGCAGUGAAAUGCGUAGAGAUGUGGAGGAAUAUCAAUGGCGAAGGCAGCCCCCUGGGAUAACACUGACGCUCAUGCACGAAAGCGUGGGGAGCGAACAGGAUUAGAUACCCUGGUAGUCCACGCCCUAAACGAUGUCAACUAGUUGUUGGUGGAGUAAGAUCCAUGAGUAACGUAGCUAACGCGUGAAGUUGACCGCC